rnacentral:rRNA from 1 species
UAAUACGAAGGGGGCUAGCGUUGUUCGGAUUUACUGGGCGUAAAGGGCGCGUAGGCGGCCCGUUUAGUCAGGUGUGAAAGCCCUGGGCUCAACCCGGGAAAUGCACUUGAUACUGGCGGGCUUGAGGAUGGGAGAGGAUGGUGGAAUUCCCAGUGUAGAGGUGAAAUUCGUAGAUAUUGGGAAGAACACCGGUGGCGAAGGCGGCCAUCUGGACCAUUUCUGACGCUGAGGCGCGAAAGCGUGGGGAGCAAACAGG